rnacentral:misc_RNA from 1 species
AGAAAAAAGAAACCCAUGAAGUAUAGUGAGAUAUCCCACUUCAGCCACCCCCUUCACUCCCUGAAAUUCGAGUACUCAGAAUUCCCAUUCAAGUGUGAUGGAUGCAAAGAAGUAGGGAUAGGGUCUCGCUACAAAUGCUCCAAGUGUGAUUUUGAUCUCCACAUGCACUGUGCAAUCCCUUCUGCUUCAAUCUACCACCCUUUCUACACCAAAUGCUCCUUCCAGUUCCUGUCUCGACCCCCAGGUGACAAGCCUCGUUACUGCAAUGCUUGUAAAAGGGAUGUCAAUGGGUUUCUGUACCAUUGCAAAGAUUGUGGAUUUGAUCUUCAUCCAUGUUGUGCAAAGUUGCCAAUGGUGCUUGAUGAUGGAGAAGUGAAGCUGUAUUUGUAUAAGAAAGUGAGUGCAACUUGUCACAAAUGCGGACGUAAAGGGAGGAGUUGGAGUUACAGGUCUUCAUGCAAGAUGUAUAAUCUUCAUGUGGCUUGUGUUAAGGACAUGUUGGUGGAGAAUUGGGCUAGUCUUUAUCUUGGAAGAUCCUCAGAUCAUCAUCAUGGGAAUACUACUUGUAGUAGCUAUGGUAAUGGUAGUAGAAAAUUGGAGACUAGAAUUCCCAGCUUGAAAAAUGCACUCCAAACCCAUCACCGUAAGAGCAAGGGUAAGGUGCAGAAAUGUUGUGAGAUGGCUGGAUUGGCUGUGCAAUUUGUGAUCUCCGCCGUGCUGGGUGAUCCCACCACCAUUAUUGCUGGGGUUAUUGGGUCUUUGAUUUGAAGAGGAUGAUAUGGGUGAUGAGAAUGCAAAGAUUAACUAAUGGGGAAAGGAAUAUUUGGUUAAUUGUAAUGGUUUUAUUUUCAGUAUAAUUAUUGGAUUUUUCUUACCUAUAUUUGUUCUAUUAUUUGAUACAAAAUACAAAAUGUAUAAUGAGAUUCUUCUAUUAAAUACAUAAGUUCCAUAUAUUUAUAUUUUGAAUCCCUAAUGAACUCAAUUUAGG